AAGUUCAUGUCUUUCCUCAACUCCCUUGCAUGUAUUUUCUCUGAGGAGACACUGGAUUCUAAGAUUGAUUUGUACUAUUUCCCGCAGGAAAGGUAGCAGUGUCCUACAGGGAUUAUCAUCCCUGAUGUUUUCUUAUUCAUGUCUACUUACCUGUCUAUAAUGAAAGCUUCAGGAUGGCAAGAGUUGUGUUACAAAGUGUUUCUCAAUUAAAGAUAUCAGUAAGUAGCUAAGGCACAAGAGUCAAGGUGAAGGAAAUUGGGAGCUAGGAGAAGGUUGACCCUGUUCCUGGAAGCAGCUGGACAGAACACAUACAUAAAGAAACUGGAGCAGAAAAUUCAGUCACAUUAAAUUUACUAUCAUCAGAAAAACCCAGAAAUAAGACAUCCCUGCAUGAUCAAUUUCUUAGUUUAUUGUACUAAUUUGUUACCACGUCGAGUCUUCUACUA